rnacentral:rRNA from 1 species
AGAACGAACGCUGGCGGCAGGCCUAAUACAUGCAAGUCGAACGCACUCUUCGGAGUGAGUGGCAGACGGGUGAGUAACGCGUGGAAACCUUCCCAAUAGUACGGAAUAACUCCGGGAAACCGGUGCUAAUACCGUAUAAGCCCUUCGGGGGAAAGAUUUAUCGCUAUUGGAUGGGUCCGCGUCGGAUUAGCUUGUUGGUAGGGUAAUGGCCUACCAAGGCGACGAUCCGUAGCUGGUCUGAGAGGAUGAUCAGCCACACUGGGACUGAGACACGGCCCAGACUCCUACGGGAGGCAGCAGUGGGGAAUCUUAGACAAUGGGCGCAAGCCUGAUCUUAGCGAUGCCGCGUGAGUGACGAAGGCCUUAGGGUCGUAAAGCUCUUUCGCCAGGGAUGAUAAUGACAGUACCUGGUAAAGAAACCCCGGCUAAACUCCGUAGCCAGCAGCCGC